rfam:Otolemur garnettii contig115400, whole genome shotgun sequence.
CGAUAUGAGGGUGAUCUGGCUGCAAUAUCCGUCACCCACCCUAUUGAUAUCCAGGCUUGAUUUAGCUGGGCAUCCCUUUCCUCUCUCUCUGGUCCAGGUGUGUCCAUUCCAAAGCCGCAUCUUGAAGAGGGUGACCUUCCCCAUAGGGGAUGUAGAAGAAGCUAUGUAUAAGUAGCUGGACUUCCCUACUAGAACCUCCAAACAAGUUCUCAAAGUGAGGCCAGAUAUUAAAGAGAAAUCACAGAGAAAUGACCAAAUUGAGGAAAUGUAGGUCAGUAAUUCUGCUAAUAGAAUAUUC